rnacentral:lncRNA from 1 species
GGGACUAAAGUCAGAAUAUUUGAUCCCAUAGAAUAAUAGGAACAUCGAUGGAUUAUAGGUGGAAAGAAUAAAAUAUUUCUUCAUCUGUCUAGGUGGUUCUUAGAAUUUCUAGCCAUUUGAUUAUUAGGUGUAACAUAGAUCAGCCAUUUAAUUUUAGAAUUAGGUUUAACUAGGUCAAAAUAAAAAAAUUAUAUCAUGCAUGUACUAGUACAAAUCCUA